CGACCUUCAACCUCAAGCUCGCCGCUCUUGGUACUACAAUUUGCAUUAUCAAUUUCUGUUGUUCUCAAUUGUGGCUCCAGCUGAUUUUUCUAACAUGGUGGCUAGUGGAGGGAAAUGAGAAAGGGGAAUACACCUAUAAAUGACGGUGGCCACUGGACUUGCUGGCUUUAUGGUUUGACUUUGCCCUCACGUAGCCCUUGGAGCUUUGGCCUCAUCGGUAUCCGUUCUAUACUUUGAUGAUAUCACCAUGAAGCUAGUGAGAUUUGCUAUGAGACAAUACAAAAGUCAUGGAUGGAAAUCGAUGAAAUUGCUUCUAAAUCAAAUGACCCUUCAAUCCUCAGCAAGAAAUUCAUGAAUUGCAAUCCCUGGAAGGAUUCUAUUGAGCCCAAAAAUUACUUGGAUGCAACUCAAAAAUUACUUGGAUGCAAUGUUUUGUGUUGCUGCUCAGUACAAUGAACCUCUGGACAGCCCUUUGACUGCUCCUUGCAACAUUCAAUGCUUGCACUAUUAUCAAUAGAUUUACUAGGAUUGCAGACGAAAUUUUUGGCAUGUUGAUUGCUGUUUAAUUCAUUCAAGAGGCUGUUAAAGUAAGUCAAAC
rnacentral:misc_RNA from 1 species